GCCUAUGUGGCACAGGCGGUAGCGCAUUUGCAUGGUAAGCAAAAGGUCACCGGUUCAAGUCCGGUCGUAGGCUCCA
rnacentral:tRNA from 1 species